rnacentral:rRNA from 1 species
AGAGUUGAUCCUGGCUCAGAUUGAACGCUGGCGGCAUGGCUAAAACAUGCAAGUCGAACGCGAAAGGGAGUAAUCCCAAGUAGAGUGGCGAAAGGGUGAGUAAUACGUUUCUACGUGCCUUGAGGUCGAGGAUAGCCAGGGGAAACUCUGGGUAAUACUCGAUGUGGUCGUAAGAUCAAAGAUUUAUCGCCUUAAGAGCGGGGAACGUCCUAUCAGGUAGUUGGUGAGGUAAUGGCUCACCAAGCCUAAGACGGGUAGCAGGUGUGAGAGUACGGCCUGCCACAUCGGGACUGAGACACUGCUUGGACUUCUAUGGAAGGCUGCAGUAACGAAUCUUCCGCAAUGCGCGAAAGCGUGACGGAGCAAUGCCGCGUGCAGGAUGAAGCCCCUCGGGGUGUAAACUGCUGUCAGGGAUUAGGAAUUAAAUGACCAUUCCCAAAGGAAGAGACGACUAACUCUGCGCCAGCAGUUGCGGUAAUACAGAGGUCUCGAGCGUUAGUCGGAAUCACUGGGCUUAAAGCGUACGUAGGCGGAUCUGUAGGCGUCGUGUGAAAUAUCUCGGCUUAACCGAGGAACUGCACGGCGAACCACAGUUCUUGAGACAAGUAGGGGCGGUCGGAACGAUAGGUGGAGUGGUGAAAUGUGUUGAUAUCUAUCGGAAUGUUGAAGGUGAAGACAGGCCGCUGGGCUUGUUCUGACGCUGAGGUACGAAAGCGUGGGGAGUAAAUGGGAUUAGAUAUCCCGGUAGUCCACGCUGUAAACGAUGUGCACUAGAUCGAGGAGGUUUUGAUACCAUUCUCGGUCGAAGUAAAAACGUUGAGUGCACCGCCUGGGGAGUACGGUCGCAAGGCUAAAACUUAAAGGAAUUGACGG